GAGAAACAAAUCCUACCGUGGACAGACUUUCCACCGUUUCGCCAAAGAGCAGGCACUUCGGCGUGAAUGAAUUAAUCACAUCAAGAGGGAUCCUGGUCCAUAUUUCAAGAUCAACGCUGAGACCGAGGUUUGAUCUGAGCACGUUGAGAAGCAAUGCUUUGUUAAGGUCACCCGUGGUAUGACAACGCUAAUAAAGGAUGCUGUGCCUGCCAACUUUGUUCGCCUGGACUUCAGAGAAGCCAAAGAGGAGAAUCAUCAUUCGCAUACCGUGUAUGGAUUCCAUGGAGUAUUCCAUCGAGUAUUUCUUCUGUUUCAAUGGUCUUGGUAAGG